rnacentral:tRNA from 1 species
GCGGCAAUAGCUCAGUGGUAGAGCCUCCGGUUCCCGUGCGGGAAGACCUGGGUUCGGUUCCCGGCUGCUUCC